rnacentral:rRNA from 1 species
UACGGAGGGUGCUAGCGUUGUUCGGAAUUACUGGGCGUAAAGGGCGCGUAGGCGGCCGUUUGCGUCGGAUGUGAAAGCCCGGGGCUCAACCUCGGAACGGCAUUCGAUACGGGACGGGCUAGAGACCGGGAGAGGAGAGUGGAAUAGCCAGUGUAGAGGUGAAAUUCGUAGAUAUUGGCUGGAACACCGGUGGCGAAAGCGGCUCUCUGGCCCGGUUCUGACGCUGAGGCGCGAAAGGCGUGGGGAGCAAACAGG